AAGAGACUUAGUCCCAACCUUACUGUUAGUUGUUGCUAGACAUAUACAUGCAAGUAUCCGCAUUCCAGUGUAGACGCCCUGACUUCCUUCAACCAAGUCGACAGGAGCUGGCAUCAGGCACACUCACAGUAGCCCAAGACGCCUCGCAUUUGCCACACCCCCACGGGUACUCAGCAGUAGUUAACAUUAAGCAAUGAGUGUAAACUUGACUUAGUCAUAGCAAUUCUAAGGGGCGGUAAAUCCUGUGCCAGCCACCGCGGUCAUACAGGAGACCCAAAUUAACAUUAUAACGGCGUAAAGCGUGGUAGCAUGCUAUCCAAAUAACUAAGAUUAAAAAGCAACUGAGCUGUGAUAAGCCCAAGAUGCUCAUAAGGCCAACUGCUAAAGAAGAUCUUAGCCAAACGAUUAAUUGAAACCCACGAAAGCCAGGGCCCAAACUGGGAUUAGAUACCCCACUAUGCCUGGCCCUAAAUCUUGGUGCUCUAUAUUACCUGAGCAUCCGCCCGAGAACUACGAGCACAAACGCUUAAAACUCUAAGGACUUGGCGGUGCCCCAAACCCACCUAGAGGAGCCUGUUCUGUAAUCGAUAAUCCACGAUACACCUGACCAUUCCUAGCCCAAUCAGCCUACAUACCGCCGUCGCCAGCCCACCCUGCCUGAUGGUUCAACAGUGAGCGCAAUAGUCUUACCCACUAAUAAGACAGGUCAAGGUAUAGCCCAUGGAAUGGGAGCAAUGGGCUACAUUUUCUAGAUUAGAACAUUGCGGCAAAAAGGCAUGAAACAGCCUUUAGAAGACGGAUUUAGCAGUAAAGUGGGACAAUCGAGCCCUCUUUAAGCCGGCUCUGGGGCACGUACAUACCGCCCGUCACCCUCUUCUCAAGCGGCCAAAACAACCCAAUACACUAAUACGCUACUCAGCUAAAGAGGAGGCAAGUCGUAACAAGGUAAGUGUACCGGAAGGUGCACUUAGACAACC
rnacentral:ncRNA from 1 species